rnacentral:rRNA from 1 species
CGCUAUCACUCCUACGGGGAGGCAGCAGUGGGGAAUAUUGCACAAUGGGCGCAAGCCUGAUGCAGCCAUGCCGCGUGUAUGAAGAAGGCCUUCGGGUUGUAAAGUACUUUCAGCAGUGAGGAAGGUGGGUAUGUUAAUAGCAUAUCAUUUGAAGUUAGCUGCAGAAGAAGCACCGGCUAACUCCGUGCCAGCAGCCGCGGUAAUACGGAGGGUGCGAGCGUUAAUCGGAAUUACUGGGCGUAAAGCGCAUGCAGGUGGUUUGUUAAGUCAGAUGUGAAAGCCCGGGGCUCAACCUCGGAAUUGCAUUUGAAACUGGCAAACUAGAGUACUGUAGAGGGGGGUAGAAUUUCAGGUGUAGCGGUGAAAUGCGUAGAGAUCUGAAGGAAUACCGGUGGCGAAGGCGGCCCCCUGGACAGAUACUGACACUCAGAUGCGAAAGCGUGGGGAGCAAACAGGAUUAGAUACCCUGGUAG